UUGUUGGUGAGGUAAAAGCUUACCAAGGCUUCGAUCAGUAGCUGGUCUGAGAGGACGGCCAGCCACACUGGGACUGAGACACGGCCCAGACUCCUACGGGAGGCAGCAGUGGGGAAUUUUGGACAAUGGGGGCAACCCUGAUCCAGCCAUGCCGCGUGAGUGAAGAAGGCCUUCGGGUUGUAAAGCUCUUUCAGCCGGAACGAAACGGUUACGGUUAAUACCCGUGACUACUGACGGUACCGGAAGAAGAAGCACCGGCUAACUACGUGCCAGCAGCCGCGGUAAUACGUAGGGUGCAAGCGUUAAUCGGAAUUACUGGGCGUAAAGCGUGCGCAGGUGGUUUUGUAAGUCAGAUGUGAAAUCCCCGGGCUUAACCUGGGAACUGCGUUUGAAACUACAAGGCUAGAGUGUGGCAGAGGGGGGUGGAAUUCCGCGUGUAGCAGUGAAAUGCGUAGAUAUGUGGAGGAACACCGAUGGCGAAGGCAGCCCCCUGGGUCAACACUGACGCUCAGGCACGAAAGCAUGGGGAGCAAACAGGAUUAGAUACCCUGGUAGUCCAUGCCCUAAACGAUGUCAACUAGUUGUCGGGCCUUAACGGGCUUGGUAACGUAGCUAACGCGUGAAGUUGACCGCCUGGGGAGUACGAUCGCAAGAUUAAAACUCAAAGGAAUUGACGGGGACCCGCACAAGCGGUGGAUUAUGUGGAUUAAUUCGAUGCAACGCGAAAAACCUUACCUACCCUUGACAUGUAUCGAAGCCCGCAGAGAAGCGGGUGUGCCCGAAAGGGAACGAUAACACAGGUGCUGCACGGCUGUCGUCAGCUCGUGUCGUGAGAUGUUGGGUUAAGUCCCGCAACGAGCGCAACCCUUGUCAUUAAUUGCCAUCAUUUAGUUGGGCACUUUAAUGAGACUGCCGG
rnacentral:rRNA from 1 species